rnacentral:tRNA from 1 species
UCAUUCGUAGUAUAAUCAUUACAUCUAAUUUCCAAUUAGAAAAUUCUUCUCCUCACUGGCAGAUAAUGUG